GAAUGCUGACAUAAGUAACGAUAAAGCGGGUGAAAAGCCCGCUCGCCGGAAGACCAAGGGUUCCUGUCCAACGUUAAUCGGGGCAGGGUGAGUCGACCCCUAAGGCGAGGCCGAAAGGCGUAGUCGAUGGGAAACGGGUUAAUAUUCCCGUACUUGGUGUUACUGCGAAGGGGGGACGGAGAAGGCUAUGUUGGCCGGGCGACGGUUGUCCCGGUUUAAGCGUGUAGGUGUGUGUUCCAGGUAAAUCCGGUUCACUUUAACACUGAGGCGUGACGACGAGGCACUACGGUGCUGAAGCAACAAAUGCCCUGCUUCCAGGAAAAGCCUCUAAGCAUCAGGUAACAUCAAAUCGUACCCCAAACCGACACAGGUGGUCAGGUAGAGAAUACCAAGGCGCUUGAGAGAACUCGGGUGAAGGAACUAGGCAAAAUGGUGCCGUAACUUCGGGAGAAGGCACGCUGACACGUAGGUGAAGUGAUUUACUCAUGGAGCUGAAGUCAGUCGAAGAUACCAGCUGGCUGCAACUGUUUAUUAAAAACACAGCACUGUGCAAACACGAAAGUGGACGUAUACGGUGUGACGCCUGCCCGGUGCCGGAAGGUUAAUUGAUGGGGUCAGCGCAAGCGAAGCUCCUGAUCGAAGCCCCGGUAAACGGCGGCCGUAACUAUAACGGUCCUAAGGUAGCGAAAUUCCUUGUCGGGUAAGUUCCGACCUGCACGAAUGGCGUAAUGAUGGCCAGGCUGUCUCCACCCGAGACUCAGUGAAAUUGAACUCGCUGUGAAGAUGCAGUGUACCCGCGGCAAGACGGAAAGACCCCGUGAACCUUUACUAUAGCUUGACACUGAACAUUGAGCCUUGAUGUGUAGGAUAGGUGGGAGGCUUUGAAGUGUGGACGCCAGUCUGCAUGGAGCCGACCUUGAAAUACCACCCUUUAAUGUUUGAUGUUCUAACGUGGACCCGUUACCCGGGUUGCGGACAGUGUCUGGUGGGUAGUUUGACUGGGGCGGUCUCCUCCUAAAGAGUAACGGAGGAGCACGAAGGUUGGCUAAUCCUGGUCGGACAUCAGGAGGUUAGUGCAAUGGCAUAAGCCAGCUUGACUGCGAGCGUGACGGCGCGAGCAGGUGCGAAAGCAGGUCAUAGUGAUCCGGUGGUUCUGAAUGGAAGGGCCAUCGCUCAACGGAUAAAAGGUACUCCGGGGAUAACAGGCUGAUACCGCCCAAGAGUUCAUAUCGACGGCGGUGUUUGGCACCUCGAUGUCGGCUCAUCACAUCCUGGGGCUGAAGUAGGUCCCAAGGGUAUGGCUGUUCGCCAUUUAAAGUGGUACGCGAGCUGGGUUUAGAACGUCGUGAGACAGUUCGGUCCCUAUCUGCCGUGGGCGCUGGAGAACUGAGGGGGGCUGCUCCUAGUACGAGAGGACCGG
rnacentral:rRNA from 1 species